GGGGAAUAUUGGACAAUGGGGGAAACCCUGAUCCAGCCAUGCCGCGUGUGUGAAGAAGGCCCUCGGGUUGUAAAGCACUUUCAGCGAGGAAGAACGCCUAACGGUUAAUACCCGCUAGGAAAGACAUCACUCGCAGAAGAAGCACCGGCUAACUCCGUGCCAGCAGCCGCGGUAAUACGGAGGGUGCAAGCGUUAAUCGGAAUUACUGGGCGUAAAGCGCGCGUAGGUGGCUUGAUAAGCCGGUUGUGAAAGCCCCGGGCUCAACCUGGGAACGGCAUCCGGAACUGUCAAGCUAGAGUGCAGGAGAGGAAGGUAGAAUUCCCGGUGUAGCGGUGAAAUGCGUAGAGAUCGGGAGGAAUACCAGUGGCGAAGGCGGCCUUCUGGACUGACACUGACACUGAGGUGCGAAAGCGUGGGUAGCAAACAG
rnacentral:rRNA from 1 species